rnacentral:rRNA from 1 species
GACGAACGCUGGCGGCGUGCUUAACACAUGCAAGUCGAACGGAAAGGCCCUGCUUGCAGGGUACUCGAGUGGCGAACGGGUGAGUAACACGUGGGUGAUCUGCCCUGCACUUCGGGAUAAGCCUGGGAAACUGGGUCUAAUACCGGAUAGGAGCCAUUUUUAGUGUGAUGGUUGGAAAGUUUUUUCGGUGUAGGAUGAGCUCGCGGCCUAUCAGCUUGUUGGUGGGGUAAUGGCCUACCAAGGCGGCGACGGGUAGCCGGCCUGAGAGGGUGGACGGCCACAUUGGGACUGAGAUACGGCCCAGACUCCUACGGGAGGCAGCAGUGGGGAAUAUUGCACAAUGGGCGCAAGCCUGAUGCAGCGACGCCGCGUGGGGGAUGACGGCCUUCGGGUUGGAAACUCCUUUCGCUAGGGACGAAGCUUUUGGGACGGUACCUAGAUAAGAAGCACCGGCUAACUACGU